rnacentral:rRNA from 1 species
AUUGAACGCUGGCGGCAUGCUUUACACAUGCAAGUCGAACGGCAGCGCGGGCUUCGGCCUGGCGGCGAGUGGCGAACGGGUGAGUAAUGCAUCGGAACGUGCCCAGUAGUGGGGGAUAGCCCGGCGAAAGCCGGAUUAAUACCGCAUACGACCUGAGGGUGAAAGCGGGGGACCGAAAGGCCUCGCGCUAUUGGAGCGGCCGAUGUCGGAUUAGCUAGUUGGUGGGGUAAAGGCUUACCAAGGCGACGAUCCUUAGCUGGUCUGAGAGGACGACCAGCCACACUGGGACUGAGACACGGCCCAGACUCCUACGGGAGGCAGCAGUGGGGAAUUUUGGACAAUGGGGGCAACCCUGAUCCAGCCAGGCCGCGGGCGGGAAGAAGGCCUUCGGGUUGUAAACCGCUUUUGUUCGGGAAGAAAUCCUCUGGGCUAAGACCCCGGGGGGAGGACGGGACCGGAAGAAUAAGCACCGGCUACUACGUG